rnacentral:rRNA from 1 species
UACGUAGGGGGCAAGCGUUGUCCGGAAUUAUUGGGCGUAAAGCGCGCGCAGGCGGUUAAUUAAGUUGGGUGUUUAAGCCCGGGGCUCAACCCCGGUCCGCAUCCAAAACUGGUUGACUUGAGUGUAGGAGAGGAAAGUGGAAUUCCACGUGUAGCGGUGAAAUGCGUAGAGAUGUGGAGGAACACCAGUGGCGAAGGCGACUUUCUGGCCUAUAACUGACGCUGAGGCGCGAAAGCGUGGGGAGCAAACAGG